rnacentral:rRNA from 1 species
UGUGGCCCCAAGUCAGGCGAGGCCCACCCGCCGAGUUUAAGCAUAUAAAUAAGCGGAGGAGGAGAAACUUACGAGGAUUCCCC